GUUUCUGCUCCUCAAGUUUAGUAAUUGCGAUGCUAUGCUAAUGUUCGAAAAUUUAGAAAACGGAGAUUUCGGAGAGAGACCGACUCUUUAGUCCUGCUGAAAAUGAAAACCCACAGCGUUUCUCUCGCUGAGUGAAUGACCUCUGUCUGACCGUCAGAUUUCCUCACUCUCAAAAUGAAAACAAGCCCUAAUUUUUCUACUUCGAUUUCUGAAUUGUAACAAAGUGAUUAACUUUAUUUCGAAAAUUGGGUUAUCGGUAUUUUCAUGAUAAGCAAUAAAAUGUGUGGGAGUGGUGGUAAAAAUAUAUGUAUGUAUGACAAAUAGUAUUUGUCAUGAUAUUGUUUAAAGUUAAAGUUUAAAGUUUGUUAUAAAGUAUCAUUUAAUGUUGAUUAGUCGAUUCAGAACACUUUCGACGUUAUAAUUAAAAUUAUUUUACUAGC